AGGACGAACGCUGGCGGCGUGCUUAACACAUGCAAGUCGAACGAUGAAGCCCAGCUUGCUGGGUGGAUUAGUGGCGAACGGGUGAGUAACACGUGAGUAACCUGCCCUUGACUCUGGGAUAAGCGUUGGAAACGACGUCUAAUACCGGAUACGAGCUUCCACCGCAUGGUGAGUUGCUGGAAAGAAUUUUGGUCAAGGAUGGACUCGCGGCCUAUCAGCUUGUUGGUGAGGUAACGGCUCACCAAGGCGACGACGGGUAGCCGGCCUGAGAGGGUGACCGGCCACACUGGGACUGAGACACGGCCCAGACUCCUACGGGAGGCAGCAGUGGGGAAUAUUGCACAAUGGGCGAAAGCCUGAUGCAGCAACGCCGCGUGAGGGACGACGGCCUUCGGGUUGUAAACCUCUUUUAGCAGGGAAGAAGCGAAAGUGACGGUACCUGCAGAAAAAGCACCGGCUAACUACGUGCCAGCAGCCGCGGUAAUACGUAGGGUGCAAGCGUUGUCCGGAAUUAUUGGGCGUAAAGAGCUCGUAGGCGGUUUGUCGCGUCUGCUGUGAAAUCCCGAGGCUCAACCUCGGGUCUGCAGUGGGUACGGGCAGACUAGAGUGCGGUAGGGGAGAUUGGAAUUCCUGGUGUAGCGGUGGAAUGCGCAGAUAUCAGGAGGAACACCGAUGGCGAAGGCAGAUCUCUGGGCCGCUACUGACGCUGAGGAGCGAAAGGGUGGGGAGCAAACAGGCUUAGAUACCCUGGUAGUCCACCCCG
rnacentral:rRNA from 1 species